AAGGAUCAUUAACGAGUAAACGGGGGAGUUGUGGCUGGUCCCUUCAAGGACAUGUGCACGCUCUCUCAACUCAAUUCAACCUUUACACCUGUGCACCCAUUGUAGGCUGGGGUGGCGUCAAGCCGCCCUUCCUAUGUUUUAUCAUAUAUACACCUGUUAGUCUCAGAAUGUCAUCUGCGUAUAACGCAUUUUUUGAAAACAA
rnacentral:misc_RNA from 1 species